rnacentral:rRNA from 1 species
GACGUAGGGCGCGAGCGUUGUCCGGAUUUAUUGGGCGUAAAGAGCUCGUAGGCGGCUUGUUGCGUCGGCUGUGAAAACCCGCGGCUUAACCGCUGGCUUGCAGCCGAUACGGGCGGGCUGGAGUUCGGUAGGGGAGACUGGAAUUCCUGGUGUAGCGGUGAAAUGCGCAGAUAUCAGGAGGAACACCAGUGGCGAAGGCGACUACCUGGCCUGUUCUUGACGCUGAGGCGCGAAAGCUAGGGGAGCAAACGGG